rnacentral:lncRNA from 1 species
AUGGUAGCUACAGCGGCAGAGGCGGCAGCAGAGGCGGUGGCCGGCGCUCUGCGGUACCUGGGCGCCGGGAGGUCGCCACCGCCGGCCUCGCGGCCGCUGCAGGUGCUUCAGAUGCUCGACAGGAGCGCCGCUUCCUCCCAGGCGGGUGGCUUCGGCCCAGGCCGCGCACCUGCUGCUGCUGCCACCGCCACCGCGCCUCAGCUUCUCCAUGCGUCGGUGCCUCCCCGAAGGCGGUCCGCGCCUCAGGCACUAGGGUGGGCCAAAGGGGGCAGCGGGCUGUGCUGGGCCCGAGGCCCGGCCUCUGGGAGCUUCUUGGGGCCCCCAGGCCGGGCUAGCCCGGCCGCCGCGCCGAGCACCCCCACGGCGCUGGGAGAAGGGGUGCGAGCCCCUCGCGCAUCUCUACGGCUGCGUCGACAUCCCCAGCAGCAUCCCGGUCUCCACGCCGGCCCCGAGGCCUGCGAGCGCCGCUUACCUGGGUCUGCAGCAGGUCUAGGGGAGCUGCCCGAGGAUACGGCGGGGGCCCGCGCCGGGGCGCAGGAUGCUCUGCCUGGCCCGGCUCGGCGGCCGCCGCGCUUGGGCCCGCCCUCGGCCCCGCCCCUCCAUCCGCUGCGGCUCCUCCUCCGUUCCCCGCACCCCGCCCCUUCGCCGCCGCGCCUGUCACACAAAGAGCAGGAAAUGGCUGCGGCCAGGGGCUCUGGGUGCGUCCCUCAGCGCGGCUGGCGCAUCCCAGACCUGCACCCGGACCUCUCGCCCCAGGAGAGCCAGCUACAUCGCUUAGGGAGGAUUUUCCCGGGCCCCUCAGACCCAGGAACCACACCUGCAGCUUGUGGGAGGACUGAUCCUUUGGGCUCCAUUAGGAUCUCAUUGAUCUCACAUGAUUUCCAAAUGCAUAUUUUUCGAGCACUUCUUUCGUUCCAAGCACCGUGCCAGGAGCUGAGUAUGCACUGGGGUAUGCAAAAGACAGAGUCUCUGCCCUUCUGGAGCUUAUCAUCUAUCAGGAGAUACAUGGCAUAA